rnacentral:rRNA from 1 species
UAACAAGGAUUCCCCUAGUAACUGCGAGUGAAGCGGGAAGAGCUCAAAUUUAAAAUCUGGCGGCUUCUAGUCGUCCGAGUUGUAACCUGGAGAGGCAUUUUCCGCGUUGGACCGUGUACAAGUCUCCUGGAAUGGAGCGUCAUAGAGGGUGAGAAUCCCGUCCAUGACACGGACCGCCAAUGCUCUGUGAUAUGCCUUCAAAGAGUCGCGUUGUUUGGGAAUGCAGCGCAAAAUGGGUGGUAAAUUCCAUCUAAAGCUAAAUAUUGGCGAGAGACCGAUAGCGAACAAGUACCGUGAGGGAAAGAUGAAAAGCACUUUGGAAAGAGAGUUAAACAGUACGUGAAAUUGUUGAAAGGGAAACGCUUGAAGUCAGUCGCGUUCCGUGGAACUCAGCCUUACUUCGGUUUGGUGUACUUUCCAUGUGAACGGGUCAACGUCAAUUUUGACUGGUGGACAAAGACAAAGGGAAUGUAGCGUUGCUUCGGUGACGUGUUAUAGCCCCUUGUUGUAUACACCGGCUGGGAUUGAGGACUGCAGCACGCCCUUGUGGCCGAGGGGUUCGCCCCUACGUACCGUGCUUAGGAUGUUGGCAUAAUGGCUUUAAGCGACCCGUCUUGAAACACGGACCAAGGAGUCUAACAUGCUUGCGAGUGUUCGGGUGGAAAACCCUUGCGCGUAAUGAAAGUGAAAGUUAGGAACCUUCUCGCAAGAGAGGGUGCACUGACGCCCGGCCCUGACGUUCUCUGACGGUGCUGCGGUAGAGCAAGUAUGUUGGGACCCGAAAGAUGGUGAACUAUGCCUGAAUAGGGCGAAGCCAGAGGAAACUCUGGUGGAGGCUCGUAGCGAUUCUGACGUGCAAAUCGAUCGUCAAAUUUGGG